GGUCUUCCAUUUUCAGGAGCGUGCUCUUAUAUUCGUCUCGUCGGCUUGACCGACUAUGGCGAUAAACAGACGAUGAAAUAAGCCGUUCGGACCCGGGGGCGGUACCCGGCGCCUCCACCAAAAGCCGCAGCGAUGCUGCGAUUUCUGAUGGGGGCGAAAUAGGAUCGACGAAGGUGUAAAGAUCGUACUUUUGCCCGGCAUUGUACCACCGUUAUCGGGCUAAACUUGUAGUUGCAAACGACAACUAUGCGGAAGCACGUCUCGCAGCGUAAGCUGUGCGAUCGCUUCAAAUUAAGCCCUAGUGGUUCGCACUUCUAGGCGGGGUCCGGAGGCACCUGGCAACAGAAGCCUCCACU
rnacentral:tmRNA from 1 species